AUAGGAAUAACAGUGUGAUUAACUGAUGCAGUUGUUCCAGAAACAACACUAUGUGUAAAUGAUGUAAAUCUUUCAAGGAUUGUAUAUGGGCUAUAAAUUUCUAUCAAAUAAUGCACUGGUACUUGUAGCUAAUAAGGAAUCAAAAUAUUCUGAAAUAUGGAGAACAACCAAAGCCAUUUCAGCAUACAAGUUAAAUUUUUCCAACCAAAAUUUACAGUCAAAAAAGGUAAGCUGACUUAUACACCAAGAUGAUUUUGAAGGACAAACAAUUCCAUGAGAAAUGCAGCAGGACUUGGAAAGAUAGUGAUGAUGUUUGAAUGU